UUUUUAGUUUUUUCUGCAUAUAUAUUUUCUGAGCCCUAAUACUUUAUUGUGAGAAUAUUAUUCGUCGCUUCUCGGGAUUUACUAUGGAAAAUACAGUGAAACGUAAUGUGAGAUAUCAAAAAUGUACUAUUUGUGGUCUAAAGAGGACCCCUGGACUGGAGCCAAUGAAUUUUUGAAGAAGUUUCCACUUGAUCCAGAUCGGUGUCAUUCUUGGGUCAAAACAGUUGGGAAUGAAGACUGCUUAAAAAUUUGCAUGAAAUUAAAUAUUUGUGUGGAUAUCACUUUGAAAAAAAGUAUUUUAAUACAAAGGGCAAUAGAUUAAUUAAAAAUGCUAUUCCAACAUUAAAUUUGCCACAACCAUUGGAUGUCUUCGAGUCUUUUGGUAGAUUUUCCUUUAUAUAGUGAAGAAAAAGAAAAAUCUCAAG